UAUACAACUUCCAGUGGAAUCAUGGCAGAAGUCACAGAUACAUCCCCCUCUACUGUUUUGUUCACUACAGUUGCGUCAGAGCAAGAAACAAACACAACAUUUACUGAGACAUCAGUGGCAGAAACAUCUACAGAUACAUCUUCUGCAACUACUACAACCGAAGUAUUAUCUUCAGUAAGCACAACGCCUCUGAUUGUACCAG